CCUACGGGAGGCAGCAGUGGGGAAUAUUGGGCAAUGGAGGAAACUCUGACCCAGCGACGCCGCGUGCGGGAUGAAGGCCUUCGGGUUGUAAACCGCUUUCAGCAGGGAAGAAGCGAAAGUGACGGUACCUGCAGAAGAAGCACCGGCUAACUAUGUGCCAGCAGCCGCGGUAAUACAUAGGGUGCAAGCGUUGUCCGGAAUUAUUGGGCGUAAAGAGCUCGUAGGUGGUUCGUCACGUCGGAUGUGAAAAUCUGGGGCUUAACCCCAGACCUGCAUUCGAUACGGGCGAGCUUGAGUAUGGUAGGGGAGUCUGGAAUUCCUGGUGUAGCGGUGGAAUGCGCAGAUAUCAGGAGGAACACCAAUGGCGAAGGCAGGACUCUGGGCCAUUACUGACACUGAGGAGCGAAAGCGUGGGGAGCGAACAGGAUUAGAUACCCUGGUAGUCCACGCCGUAAACGGUGGGCACUAGUUGUGGGGACCUUCCACGGUCUCUGCGACGCAGCUAACGCAUUAAGUGCCCCGCCUGGGGAGACGAGUCGCAGAUAAACUACAANAGAAGUAGACGGCGUGAGACGUGCCGACGGACGACGACGAGGGAGGUUAGG
rnacentral:rRNA from 1 species